UACGGAGGAUCCGAGCGUUAUCCGGAUUUAUUGGGUUUAAAGGGUGCGUAGGCGGCCUUGUAAGUCAGGGGUGAAAGACGGUAGCUCAACUAUCGCAGUGCCUUUGAUACUGCAGGGGCUUGAAUGUACUUGAGGCAGGCGGAAUGUGACAAGUAGCGGUGAAAUGCAUAGAUAUGUCACAGAACACCAAAUUGCGAAGGCAGCUUGCUAAAAGUAUGAUUGACGCUGAGGCACGAAAAGCGUGGGGGAUC
rnacentral:rRNA from 1 species